GGAAUUUUGGACAAUGGGGGCAACCCUGAUCCAGCCAUGCCGCGUGCGGGAAGAAGGCCUUCGGGUUGUAAACCGCUUUUGUCAGGGAAGAAACGCUCUAGGUUAAUACCCUGGGGUAAUGACGGUACCUGAAGAAUAAGCACCGGACAACGACUGUCCGGCAGCCGCGGUAAUACGUAGGGUGCAAGCGUUAAUCGGAAUUACUGGGCGUAAAGCGUGCGCAGGCGGUCUUGCAAGACAGAUGUGAAAUCCCCGGGCUUAACCUGGGAACUGCAUUUGUGACUGCAAGGCUGGAGUGCGGCAGAGGGGGAUGGAAUUCCGCGUGUAGCAGUGAAAUGCGUAGAUAUGCGGAGGAACACCGAUGGCGAAGGCAAUCCCCUGGGCCUGCACUGACGCUCAUGCACGAAAGCGUGGGGAGCAAA
rnacentral:rRNA from 1 species